rnacentral:rRNA from 1 species
CCCUUAGAUGUUCUGGGCCGCACGCGCGCUACACUGAUGCAUGCAACGAGUUCUAUCCUUGGCCGGAAGGCCUGGGUAAUCUGUGAACGUGCAUCGUGAUAGGGAUAGAUUAUUGCAAUUAUUAAUCUUGAACGAGGGAUUCCUAGUAAACGCAAGUCAUCAGCUUGCAUUGAUUACGUCCCUGCCCUUUGUACACACCGCCCGUCGCACCUACCGAUCGAAGGUAAUGAUGAGCCCUCAGGAUUGUGGCCUCGUCGCGUCAGCGUCUUGGCUGCGAGAAUCUGUGCAAAUCCCUACCUUUAGAGGAAGGUGAAGUCGUAACA